rnacentral:rRNA from 1 species
GACGAACGCUGGCGGCGUGCUUAACACAUGCAAGUCGAACGAAGUGGCGAACGGGUGAGUAACGCGUAAUAAACCUGCCCUUCAGAGGGGGACAACAGUUGGAAACGACUGCUAAUACCGCAUACUGAAGGAGGGGAUUGCGUCGGAUUAGCUAGUUGGAGGGGUAACGGCCCACCAAGGCGAUGAUCAGGAGCCGGUCGGGGAGGAUGAACGGACACAUGGGGACUGAGACACGGCCCAGAGUCCUAGUGGAGACAGCAGUGGGGAAUCUGCCGAAAUGGACGAAAGUCUGAGGGAGCAACGCCGCGUGAGUGAUGACGGCCUUCGGGUUGUAAAGCUCUGUUAAUCGGGACGCGGUACCGGAAUAGAAAGCCACGGCUAACUACGUGCCAGCAGCCGCGGUAAUAC